rnacentral:rRNA from 1 species
CCUACGGGAGGCAGCAGUGGGGAAUAUUGGACAAUGGGGGGAACCCUGAUCCAGCCAUGCCGCGUGUGUGAAGAAGGCCCUCGGGUUGUAAAGCACUUUCAGUGAGGAAGAACGCCUGGUGGUUAAUACCUAUCAGGAAAGACAUCACUCACAGAAGAAGCACCGGCUAACUCCGUGCCAGCAGCCGCGGUAAUACGGAGGGUGCGAGCGUUAAUCGGAAUUACUGGGCGUAAAGCGCGCGUAGGUGGCUUGAUAAGCCGGUUGUGAAAGCCCCGGGCUCAACCUGGGAACGGCAUCCGGAACUGUCAAGCUAGAGUGCAGGAGAGGAAGGUAGAAUUCCCGGUGUAGCGGUGAAAUGCGUAGAGAUCGGGAGGAAUACCAGUGGCGAAGGCGGCCUUCUGGACUGACACUGACACUGAGGUGCGAAAGCGUGGGUAGCAAACAGGAUUAGAUACCCCUGUAGUC